GAGUAGUUAGCCUAACCGCAAGGAGGGCGAUUACCACGGUAGGGUUCAUGACUGGGGUGAAGUCGUAACAAGGUAGCCGUAUCGGAAGGUGCGGCUGGAUCACCUCCUUU
rnacentral:rRNA from 1 species